rnacentral:rRNA from 1 species
UACAGAGGGUGCGAGCGUUAAUCGGAAUUACUGGGCGUAAAGGGCGCGUAGGUGGUUACGUAAGUGAGAUGUGAAAGCCCCGGGCUUAACCUGGGAACUGCAUCUUAUACUGCGUAACUGGAGUACGGUAGAGGGUAGUGGAAUUUCCGGUGUAGCGGUGAAAUGCGUAGAUAUCGGAAGGAACACCAGUGGCGAAGGCGGCUACCUGGACUGAUACUGACACUGAGGCGCGAGAGCGUGGGGAGCAAACAGG